rnacentral:tRNA from 1 species
AUUUUUAUAGUGUAAAUUAACACAUUACAUUUUCACUGUAAAGCUAAAGCAAUCGCUUUUAAAAAUA